GACGUCAAUCAUCAUGCCCCUUAUGUACCUGGGCUACACACGUAAUACAAUGGCGGUCAACAGAGGGAUGCAAAGCCGUGAGGUGGAGCGAACCCCUAAAAGCCGUCCCAGUUCAGAUUGUGGGCUGCAACCCGCCCGCAUGAAGUUGGAAUCGCUAGUAAUCGCGGAUCAGCAUGCCGCGGUGAAUACGUUCCCGGGCCUUGUACACACCGCCCGUCACACCAUGAGAGUCGGGAACACCCGAAGUCCGUAACCUAACCUAAAGGAGGGCGCGGUCGAAGGUGGGUUCGAUAAUUGGGGUGAAGUCGUAACAGGGUAACCCGUUAA
rnacentral:rRNA from 1 species